rnacentral:rRNA from 1 species
AUGGAGGCGGCUCUGGUGACUGUGGCGACGGGGGUCCUCAAACCUGUCCUGGUGAAGCUGGCCACCCUGCUCGGGGACGAGUACAAGCGUUUUAAGGGUGUGCGCAAGGAGAUCAGGUCUCUCACUCAUGAACUCGCCGCCAUGGAGGCUUUUCUCCUCAAGAUGUCGGAGGAGGAAGAUCCUGAUGUGCAGGAUAAAGUCUGGAUGAAUGAGGUGCGGGAGCUGUCCUAUGACCUGGAGGAUGUCAUCGAUGACUUCAUGCAAAGUGUUGGUGACAAAGAAGAAAAGCCAGAUGGCUUCAUUGAGAAGAUCAAGAGCUCUCUAGGGAAGUUGGGAAAUAUGAAGGAUCGUCAUCGAAUUGGCAAGGAGAUACAUGAUCUGAAGAAUCAGAUCAUUGAGGUGGGCGACAGGAAUGCAAGGUACAAGGGACGUGAGAUCUUCUCCAAGGCCGUCAAUGCGACCGUUGACCCUAGAGCUCUUGCUAUCUUUGAGCAUGCAUCAAAGCUCGUCGGAAUUGAUGAACCCAAGGCUAAGCUGAUCAAGUUGUUAACUGACGAGGAUGGAGUUGCAUCAACACAACAACAAGUGAAGAUGGUCUCCAUUGUUGGAUCGGGAGGAAUGGGCAAAACAACUCUUGCAAACCAAGUGUAUCAAGAGCUGAAAGAGAAAUUCAAGUGUAAAGCUUUCAUUUCAGUGUCACGAAAUCCAGAUAUGACAAAUAUCUUGAGAACCCUCCUUAGUGAAGUUGGGUGUCAAGAUUAUGCUGACACUGAAGCAGGGAGCAUACAACAACUAAUAAGAAAGAUUACCGACUACCUAGCAGAAAAAAGGUAUAUUAUAGUGAUUGACGACAUAUGGGAUGUUAAAACAUGGGACGUUAUUAAGUGCGCAUUCCCCAUGACCAGAUGCGGUGGUGUAAUAAUCACCACUACACGGCUGAGUGAUGUUGCAUGUUCGUGUCAUUCAUCAAUCGGUGGCCAUAUUUAUAAUAUAAGGCCUCUUAAUAUGCAGCACUCAAGACAACUAUUCUACAGAAGAUUAUUCAGCUCCGAAGAAGAUUGCCCUUCAUCGCUCGUGAAAGUUUCUAAUCAAAUCUUGGAAAAAUGUGAUGGGAUGCCUUUGGCAAUCAUUGCUAUAGCUGGUUUGUUGGCUAACACAGGAAGAUCAGAGCAUCUAUGGAACCAAGUGAAAGAUUCAAUUGGUCGUACACUUGAAAGGAAUCCUAGUGUCGAAGUAAUGAUCAAGAUAUUGUCACUUAGUUACUUUGAUCUUCCUCCGCAUCUAAAAACAUGUCUCUUGUAUCUCAGUAUAUUUCCGGAAGAUUCUAUUAUUGAGAAGAAAACACUAAUAUCAGGCUGGAUAGCCGAAGGAUUCAUUCACAAAGAAGGUAGAUAUACUGUAUAUGAGGUAGGAGUGAGGUGUUUUAAUGAGCUCGUCAACAGGAGUUUGAUCCAACCUGUGAAGGCAGGUAGGUUUAGGGGGAAGAGCUGUCGAGUUCACGACACAAUUCUUGAUUUCAUAGUAUCCAAGUCUAUUGAAGAGAACUUUGUUACUUUCAUUGGUGUCCCCAAUUUAAAUACCAUGGCACAAAGCAAAGCCCGUCGUCUCUCCAUUCAAGUUGAAGCGGAAGGGAUGCCGAUGAACCUGAUAUUAUCUCAUGUCCGAUCACUUAACGUGUUCGGGAAUACAGUGAGUAUUCCUUCGAUCAUGGAGUUCAGGCAUUUGCGUGUCCUUGAUUUUGGAGGAAACAGACUAUUGGAAAACCGUCAUCUCGCGUAUGUAGGGAUGCUAUUUCAGCUAAGGUAUCUCAACAUUUACAUGACAGCAGUAAGCGAGCUCCCGGAACAAAUCAGACACUUACAGUGCUUAGAGAUGUUGGACAUCAGGCGUACAAAGGUGUCUGAGUUGCCAGCCAGUAUUGCCAAUCUCGGCAAACUUGCACACUUACUUCUUAGCUCAGAUACUGGCACAAAUGUUAAGUUUCCCGACGGAAUUGCUAAGAUGCAAGCACUGGAGGCUUUGCAUAGUGUUAACACCUGCAAUCAGUCAUAUAACUUUCUGCAAGGGCUUGGUGAGCUAAAGAAUCUGAGGAAGCUGGGCAUUAACUAUCGGGGUGUUGCCCAGGAAGACAAGGAAGUUAUUGCUUCUUCUCUCGGUUUGCCGGACACGGUAUAUACCAUGAUUGCUACAUGCGGUCUCAAGACUAAUCACGACACUCCUGACGAAUGCGCUCAGGUUCUUCUCAAGCCCUGCAGUUCUUCAUGA